UCCCCGUUAUCCUGGGCAGUCUCUCUAGAGUGCCCGGCAUUACCCGCUGGCAACUAGGGAUGGGGGUUGCGCUCGUUAUGGGACUUAACCCGACACCUCACGGCACGAGCUGACGACAACCAUGCAGCACCUUGUAAAUUGUCUUGCGAAAGAUCUGUUUCCAAACCGGUCAAUCUACAUUUAAGCCUUGGUAAGGUUCCUCGCGUAUCAUCGAAUUAAACCACAUGCUCCACCGCUUGUGCGGGCCCCCGUCAAUUCCUUUGAGUUUCAUUCUUGCGAACGUACUCCCCAGGUGGGAUACUUAUCACUUUCGCUUAGCCACUCAGGUUGCCCCGAACAGCUAGUAUCCAUCGUUUACGGCGUGGACUAC
rnacentral:misc_RNA from 1 species